rnacentral:misc_RNA from 1 species
UAACUAGGAAGAAUAUAGCCCUCAAAUGACUGUCAACUACAAGAGGGACUCCUAGCUGGACAUUUAUGUAGAUGUAGGGGCCAAGUGGCAGCUUAUUUGGGGAUCAUAACACAACAAUGGUUAUCAGCUAAUACCUAAUCCCUAAAAGCAUUAUAAACAUGAUAAUGUGGGUGAGAAGACAUCAUUAAAAUAUUAGUCUUUCACUUGGUCUCAGGAGACCCAUAGCCAUAAGGGUUCUUGCUGGCCCAGUUCCAUUGAUC